CCUUUCAGUCUGCAGGCCGACGCUCUGUCCACUGAGCCAAACCUCUCUUGGCUGUUUCAUACAUUCUUAUAGUCUAAUCACUAUAUUCAAGCAUACUUUGGCACAGAGUUAUUUUCAUCAAUUUCUUGACAACUAUUAACCUACUUUUGCUCACCCCUGUACAGUAAAGUAACACAUUCUAGGUAGCCUUUAUUAUUCAUCUAAGAAAAUAUAAUAUCCUAAAUAAAUAAGUCAUGUACCACUUGAUGGGGAUACAUUUUUAGAAAUGCAUCGUUAGUUGACUCAGUCAUUGUAUGAACAUCAUAGAAUAUACCCCAUUACACAUUUAGGCUAUGUGAUAUAGCCUAUUGCUCUGUUGGAAGGAAAAAUAAUUUCCCUUCCAUUCUUCUGGGUUCUUGGCUGAGACAUCCCUGUAAAUAAAUACAGAUUAACAAGGGUGGGGGGGGAGGAAUAACAUGUAUAUGUACCAUAUACAUGGGAAAGACCAGGAAAAUUAAGUAAGUUGCCAAAAUGACUGAAAUUGCCACCUUAAAUAUCAGCUGAAGACAAAAGAUGUUGGGGUUGUUAUGCAGAUGUAAAUGGUUGCCUUCUGUAUUGAUAAGAGUUUCUAGAGAUCAGAUCAUUCCCCUCUUUUGGGUACGUGGAGAGAGACACCCUUACAAUUGAAGAUUUCCCUUAUAGGUGAGUCUUAAAAAGGGUAUCUUCAAGUUGGUUUUUAGCACUUCUCCCAUGUCUGCUAUUCCUUAAAAUCACCUAGACUAAAAUAAUCCUUAUGCUAGAGUGACAUAUUUUAGGGAUAUUUACCUUAAGUUCUUACUUGCCUACCACCUGCUUCCUGUCUAGAGUUCUUUUAGCCAAUUUUGUCCAAUUCUACACAAACAAUUCCAGAGAAUUGAAGAGGUGGACUAUUUCCCAACUCAUUCUAUAUAGUGAGUGUUAUCCAGAUCCUAAAACCUGAAACAGACAUUAAAAGAAAACUAAAAAGCGGUAUCCCUCAUGAGUAUAAGUGCAAAAAUUCUAAACACAAUUUUUAGCAAAGCAAAUUCAACAUG